rnacentral:autocatalytically_spliced_intron from 1 species
UUAAGGUACGUUGGAACAAGUCAACAAAGGCGAGAAUUAACGGAAGAUACAAAGGAAGUCGGACUGAUUGAUAGUACUCAGAGUGUGGGAAACAAGGGGAAGCGAUCAGCGGUAUAGUUAGGGAUUGUUACACCAACACAACAGAGGUUGGGAUAUGAUGCAAGGAAAACUAAAUCAGAUAGCAGUAAUCAAAGAUGCUGUGAAUGCUACACUGAAGAGCCGUAUGCGGGAAAUUCGCAAGUACGGUUCUGUUGGGGGGAUCAUAGCAACUAAACCUAAUAGGAGGAUUUAAAGUUAUGAUC